UACGUAGGUGGCAAGCGUUAUUCGGAUUCACUGGGCGUAAAGGGUGCGCAGGCGGCCAAGUGUGUCAGGUGUGAAAUCCCGAGGCUUAACCUCGGAACUGCGCCUGAAACUACUUGGCUAGAGUACUGGAGAGGGUAACGGAAUUCACGGUGUAGCAGUGAAAUGCGUAGAUAUCGUGAGGAACACCAGAGGCGAAGGCGGUUACCUGGACAGUUACUGACGCUCAGGCACGAAAGCGUGGGGAGCAAAAGGG
rnacentral:rRNA from 1 species